rnacentral:rRNA from 1 species
CCCCUCCUCGGGGCGCAGCAGUGAGGAAUAUUGGUCAAUGGGCGGGAGCCUGAACCAGCCAAGUCGCGUGAAGGAAGAAGGUACUUAGUAUUGUAAACUUCUUUUGUCGGGGAGCAAAGGCGGAGACGCGUCUCCGGAUGAGUGUACCCGUAGAAAAAGCAACGGCUAACUCCGUGCCAGCAGCCGCGGUAAUACGGAGGAUGCGAGCGUUAUCCGGAUUUAUUGGGUUUAAAGGGUGCGCAGGCGGGAGAUCAAGUCAGCGGUAAAAUGUCGGGGCUCAAACCCGGCCGGCCGUUGAAACUGGU